UACGUAGGCAGCGAGCGUUGUUCGGAUUUACUGGGCGUAAAGGGUGUGUAGGCGGUUGCUUAAGUUUGGGGUGAAAUCUCCCGGCUCAACUGGGAGGGUGCGCCGAAUACUGAGUGACUCGAGUGCGGGAGAGGAAAGUGGAAUUCCUGGUGUAGCGGUGAAAUGCGUAGAUAUCAGGAGGAACACCGGUGGUGUAGACGGCUUUCUGGACCGUAACUGACGCUGAGACACGAAAGCGUGGGUAGCAAACAGG
rnacentral:rRNA from 1 species